GCCACCGCCGGGCAAGGGGCUGGGGUAAUACUGGGGGGGCAAGCGUUAGCCGGGUUUAGUGGGUUUAAAGUGGGGGUAGGCGGACUUUUAAGUCAGCGGGGAAAUCUCCGGGCUCAACCCGGAAACUGCCAUUGAUACUAUUGGUCUUGAAUGUUGUUGAGGUGGGCGGAACGGGUCAUGUAGCGGUGAAAUGCAUAGAUAUGACCCGGAACACCGAUUGCGUAGGCAGCCCACUAAGCAACGAUUGACGCUGAGGCACGAAAGCGUGGGGAUCAAACAGGAUUAGAUACCCUUGUAGUC
rnacentral:rRNA from 1 species